rnacentral:rRNA from 1 species
AGGUUAAGUUAACAAGGGCGCAUGGUGAAUGCCUUGGCACUAGGAGCCGAUGAAGGACGGGACUAACACCGAUAUGCUUCGGGGAGCUGUACGUAAGCUAUGAUCCGGAGAUUUCCGAAUGGGGCAACCCAGCAGUUUUAAUCAACUGUUACCACUAGAUGAAUUUAUAGUCUAGUUGGAGGUAAACGCUGUGAACUGAAACAUCUCAUUAGCAGCAGGAAUAUAAAGAAAUUUCGAUUCCCUAAGUAGCGGCGAGCGAACGGGGAACAGCCCAAACCAAAGUGCUUGCACUUUGGGGUUGUAGGACUGAACAUUUGAGUUACCAAAGAACUUGAUAGUCGAAGGAUUUGGGAAAAUCCGCCAUAGAUGGUGAUAGCCCAGUAGAUUAAAUCAAAUUCUCUCAGUUCAGGAUCCUGAGUACGGCGGAACACGUGAAAUUCCGUCGGAAUCCGGGAGGACCAUCUCCCAAGGCUAAAUACUACCUAGUGACCGAUAGUGAACCAGUACCGUGAGGGAAAGGUGAAAAGCACCCCGGGAGGGGAGUGAAAUAGUUCCUGAAACCAUGUGCCUACAAUAAGUCAGAGCGCGUUAAUGCGUGAUGGCGUGCCUUUUGUAGAAUGAACCGGCGAGUUAUGAUCCCGUGCAAGGUUAAGACUAAAAAGUCGGAGCCGUAGCGAAAGCGAGUCUGAAAUGGGCGUUUUGAGUACGAGGUUAUAGACCCGAAACCAGGUGACCUAUCCAUGUCCAGGUUGAAGGUGCGGUAAAACGCACUGGAGGACCGAACCCGUGUAAGUUGAAAAUUGCUGGGAUGAGGUGUGGAUAGCGGUGAAAUUCCAAACGAACUUGGAGAUAGCUGGUUCUCUCCGAAAUAGCUUUAGGGCUAGCCUCGGAAUUAGGAUCAUGGAGGUAGAGCACUAUUUGGACUAGGGGCCCGUCUUGGGUUACUGAAUUCAGAUAAACUCCGAAUGCCAUUGAUUCAUAUCCGGGAGUCAGACGAUGAGUGAUAAGAUCCACCGUCGAAAGGGGAACAGCCCAGACCAUCAGUUAAGGUCCCUAAAUGUAUGCUAAGUGGAAAAGGAUGUGGAGUUGCAUAGACAACUAGGAUGUUGGCUCAGAAGCAGCCACCAUUUAAAGAGUGCGUAAUAGCUCACUAGUCGAGUGAUCCUGCGCCGAAAAUGUACCGGGGCUAAGCAUGCUACCGAAACCAUGGAUGCGACCAAUAGGUCGCGUGAUAGGAGAGCGUUCUAAGGGCGGUGAAGCAAGAUCGUGAGGACUUGUGGAGCGCUUAGAAGUGAGAAUGCCGGUAUGAGUAGCGAAAGAUAGGUGAGAAUCCUAUCCACCGAAUGACUAAGGUUUCCUGGGGAAGGCUCGUCCUCCCAGGGUUAGUCGGGACCUAAGUCGAGGCCGAGAGGCGUAGACGAUGGAUAACAGGUUGAGAUUCCUGUACUAGUUAAUUGCGUUUGAGCAAUGGAGGGACGCAGGAGGCUAAGAUGUGCAUUCUGUUGGAUUAGAAUGUCUAAGCAGUAAGUCUUGUGAAGAGUCAAAUGCUUUUCACUUUAAGGACAAGCUGUGAUGGGGAGCGAAAUUUAGUAGCGAAGCGUCUGAUGUCACACUGCCGAGAAAAUCUUCUAGUGAGUACUUAACUACCCGUACCGCAAACCGACACAGGUAGUCGAGGAGAGAAUCCUAAGGUGAGCGAGUGAACUCUCGUUAAGGAACUCGGCAAAAUGACCCCGUAACUUCGGGAGAAGGGGUGCUGAUCGCAAGAUCAGCCGCAGUGAAUAGGCCCAGGCGACUGUUUAUCAAAAACACAGGUCUCUGCAAAAUCGUAAGAUGACGUAUAGGGGCUGACGCCUGCCCGGUGCUGGAAGGUUAAAAGGAUGGGUUAGCUUCGGCGAAGCUCAGAAUUGAAGCCCCAGUAAACGGCGGCCGUAACUAUAACGGUCCUAAGGUAGCGAAAUUCCUUGUCGGGUAAGUUCCGACCCGCACGAAAGGCGUAACGAUCUGGGCACUGUCUCAACGAGAGACUCGGUGAAAUUAUAUUGUCCGUGAAGAUGCGGACUACCCGCGACAGGACGGAAAGACCCCAUGGAGCUUUACUGUAGCUUGAUAUUGAGUGUUUGUACAGCUUGUACAGGAUAGGUAGGAGCCAUAGAAACCGGAACGCUAGUUUCGGUGGAGGCGUUGGUGGGAUACUACCCUCGCUGUAUGACCACUCUAACCCGCACCACUAAUCGUGGUGGGAGACAGUGUCAGGUGGGCAGUUUGACUGGGGCGGUCGCCUCCUAAAAAGUAACGGAGGCGCCCAAAGGUUCCCUCAGAAUGGUUGGAAAUCAUUCGCAGAGUGUAAAGGCACAAGGGAGCUUGACUGCGAGACAGACAGGUCGAGCAGGGACGAAAGUCGGGCUUAGUGAUCCGGUGGUACCGUAUGGAAGGGCCAUCGCUCAACGGAUAAAAGCUACCCUGGGGAUAACAGGCUUAUCUCCCCCAAGAGUCCACAUCGACGGGGAGGUUUGGCACCUCGAUGUCGGCUCAUCGCAUCCUGGGGCUGUAGUCGGUCCCAAGGGUUGGGCUGUUCGCCCAUUAAAGCGGUACGCGAGCUGGGUUCAGAACGUCGUGAGACAGUUCGGUCCCUAUCCGUCGCGGGCGUAGGAAAUUUGAGAGGACCUGUCCUUAGUACGAGAGGACCGGGAUGGACAUACCUCUGGUGUACCAGUUGUGCCGCCAGGCGCAUCGCUGGGUAGCUACGUAUGGAUGUGAUAAACGCUGAAAGCAUCUAAGUGUGAAACACACCUCGAGAUGAGAUUUCCCAUUCCUUUAUGGAAGUAAGACCCCUGAAAGAUGAUCAGGUAGAUAGGUUAGAAGUGGCAGUGCGGUGACGCAUGAAGCGGACUAAUACUAAUCGGUCGAGGACUUAACCAAG